ACGGCAAAUUUGACAGCAACGAGAAAGAACACAUUUCUGCCACACAAGAACGAAUUUGGGCGAGUCUCAAGGGCAAGUGUUGAAUGAAAGAAGAGAACAACACAUAAGGUUUUACUCCUUUGAAUUCUAGAAACAAGCCAUCUGGCGAUUAGUGAUAACCCAGCCUUGGGCAAUCUCAGUGUCGGUUCUAUUGAGAAAAAAGGCUCUACUCUGCUAAUGACCACACGCAAAGGAAGGGGCCCAGGCAGAACUCCAUGCCAGCAUCUGAAACAGCACCCCACACUCUCCUGCCACAAAAUAUAAGUAGCCCACAAAUACUCACGAAAAGUAUGACACAGAUGAAGAGCUGGGCUUUGAGAUCAGAGGGCUCCAAGCUUGUCCCCAUCAGAUUCCCCUAAACCCAUAAACGUCUCCUUUGUCAAGUCAUAUAACCUUCCUAACCUUCAGUUUAUGUGUCUCUGAAAUCUAGACAGGGAUAGAACAUUCCUAUGGAGUAGCGUUAACGCAGAUGACAGCGAGCCUAAACCUAGCUUAGCAGGUAUUCGGCAUGGGAGCUUCCAAUGUUAAUCAGCAAGGAAGACAGACAAGAUCGUCUGAGGAAGAAGAGACGUUCAGUGCCUCCGAGGUGAUAGAGGGUAAAUCCGGAUCUGUCUUUCCAGUCCCCGAGGGCACAACUCCCUAAAAGCCAAGGAAACAUACAGAAGUGAAUUCAUUGACACGUGGACUUGGGGCCCUGAUGACUCGUCAAAGGAAGAAAUGAUUUUCUGCAGAAGGCAUCCAGCCAGAUGGUUAUAAAUGAGAGUGAGCACACAGGCCUUUCUUAAUGACUAAAUUUCUUUAACUAAAAAUCUAAUUUUAUUGUGGUAUAAAUCACACUUUCUUGAAGUAGGGAAUUAAUUUUAGAUUUUUCAUUCACUGUUCAUAACCUUUCCAUGAAUCUGACAGCCAAAUCAUUCUAAAUGUCAUUUAACCAAUACAAUACAACAGCUUUAUUCCUCGUUGUACCCUUCCUGAAUCCAUUAUCUCCCACUAUAAUGUAGAAGAACUUAAGUAAAAAAGAAAUUACCAUUUCAAAAAGCUGCAGUUUUACUGUGCAGUUGAACAGCAUAAUCUUUAUUUUUAAAUCAAUAUAAUGUGAGUGCUGAGUAAUAUUUUUCCGAAUCCAGAAGUGCCUCACUACCAAAAAAAAAAAAAAAAGGAGUUUGAGGGCUGUCUAAAGUGUUUGAACAAAGCAGCUCCAAUGCCAGGCCUGGAGCCCUCCCUUCCUUCCACCCCGCCAUGUCCAUCUUAGGGACAGAGCCUGAGGCUCAGGAGAUGGCAGGUGUGCCUUCCCCUGACCUCAGCCCUGUGACUCCUCAGCCAUGGUCCCAGCCAUGCCUGGGUUUAGGAAAGUGGGAUAUGACAAACACCUUCAACUGAGAAGUGACGGUCCAGGAGGCCAGGGUAUACAGAUUAUUAGAGGAUAUCCCGCUGUAGAUGGCCAGGACCACAGGGGUCACGGUGUCACUAUUCUGAGGCAGAGUCCCCCAUGGCAGCUCCUCAAUCCGGCCAUAGAGGGGCUGAGGAAGCUGCUGCCGUCAGGAUUCCUCAGAGCCUAGCUUCCAGAACAUGCUACAAAAGGAAGCCCACACACUCGGUUUCUGAACUGCCGCGUGCGGGGACCGACACCCCUUCGAUGCUGAGAUGCCAACAGCAAGUUUCUCCGAACAGAGAAGCUCACAGAACCAAGGCCGCCUUAGCUGGCAUCCUUGCACCUCCUCCACAGACUCAUUUGAAUUUUAAAAACUCCGCUCUACCCACUUUCAUUUUCACUAGCAAGACACCAUUCUGCAAUUAAAAUCUCCCCCUGGACUGACAGCAGACAGCUAAAUAAAGCAGUGUCUCGUGUG